rnacentral:ribozyme from 1 species
AUCUAAAUUGACUUCAUAAAGAGAAUAAGUAAUAACUGACUGACUGGGAAGAAAAUAAUACAUAAAAUCAUAGCAAGCUGAUCUCUCUCUCUUUUUCCCUCUCUCUCUCUCUUUCUUUCUUUCUCUCGUUUUCUGUUUGUUUGUUUUUUAUUCGGAAGUGUUGUUGUGAGGAGCUAAGUAUAGCGACAGAUAAAUAAUCGUAAUUUAGAUUA